UAAAAGGGCUUUUGCUAUCCAUAGCACAGAGCUGCUUCACAGCUGCUCUGCGGAAUCGCUAUCAAGAGAUUUCGGAAGCAUAAUUUUUGGCAAAUUGGAUGUCAGACUGCUGCUGCAGUGACACCCUA